AACGAACGCUGGCGGCAGGCUUAACACAUGCAAGUCGAACGGGCUCUUCGGAGGCAGUGGCAGACGGGUGAGUAAUGCAUGGGAAUCUACCGUUCUCUACGGAAUAACUCAGGGAAACUUGUGCUAAUACCGUAUACGCCCUUUUGGGGAAAGAUUUAUCGGAGAAUGAUGAGCCCAUGUUGGAUUAGCUAGUUGGUAGGGUAAAGGCCUACCAAGGCGACGAUCCAUAGCUGGUCUGAGAGGAUGAUCAGCCACACUGGGACUGAGACACGGCCCAGACUCCUACGGGAGGCAGCAGUGGGGAAUAUUG
rnacentral:rRNA from 1 species